AGAGUUUGAUCCUGGCUCAGGAUGAACGCUAGCGACAGGCUUAACACAUGCAAGUCGAGGGGCAGCGGUGGUGAAGGCUUGCCUUUACCAGCCGGCGACCGGCGCACGGGUGAGUAACACGUAUGCAACCUGCCUGCCACAGCCGGAUAAUCGGGAGAAAUUCCGUCUAAUACGGCAUAAUGCACCUAUGGGACAUCCUGUUGGUGCCAAAGGUUAAUUCCGGUGGCGGAUGGGCAUGCGUCGCAUUAGUUAGUUGGCGGUGUAACGGACCACCAAGACGACGAUGCGUAGGGGUUCUGAGAGGAAGGUCCCCCACACUGGUACUGAGACACGGACCAGACUCCUACGGGAGGCAGCAGUGAGGAAUAUUGGUCAAUGGGCGGGAGCCUGAACCAGCCAAGUCGCGUGAGGGAUGACGGCCCUAUGGGUUGUAAACCUCUUUUGCCGGGGAGCAAAGUGCCGCACGUGUGCGGUUUGGAGAGUACCCGGAGAAAAAGCAUCGGCUAACUCCGUGCCAGCAGCCGCGGUAAUACGGAGGAUGCGAGCGUUAACCGGAUUUAUUGGGUUUAAAGGGUGCGUAGGCGGACGCUUAAGUCAGCGGUAAAAUUGCGGGGCUCAACCUCGUCGAGCCGUUGAAACUGGGUGCCUUGAGUGGGCGAGAAGUACGCGGAAUGCGUGGUGUAGCGGUGAAAUGCAUAGAUAUCACGCAGAACUCCGAUUGCGAAGGCAGCGUACCGGCGCCCAACUGACGCUGAAGCACGAAGGCGUGGGUAUCGAACAGGAUUAGAUACCCUGGUAGUCCACGCAGUAAACGAUGAAUGCUAGUUGUCCGGGGCGAUUGAUUUCUGGG
rnacentral:rRNA from 1 species